rnacentral:rRNA from 1 species
UACGUAGGGUGCGAGCGUUGUCCGGAAUUAUUGGGCGUAAAGAGCUUGUAGGCGGUCUGUCGCGUCUGCUGUGAAAAUCCGGGGCUCAACCCCGGACUUGCAGUGGGUACGGGCAGACUAGAGUGUGGUAGGGGAGACUGGAAUUCCUGGUGUAGCGGUGGAAUGCGCAGAUAUCAGGAGGAACACCGAUGGCGAAGGCAGCUCGCU